UAAAGGAAGCGAUUCCGGCUACGGAUGGUCAUGCGUCGCAUUAGCUAGUUGGCGGGGUAACGGCCCACCAGGGCGACGAUGCGUAGGGGUUCUGAGAGGAAGGUCCCCCACACUGGUACUGAGACACGGACCAGACUCCUACGGGAGGCAGCAGUGAGGAAUAUUGGUCAAUGGCCGCAGGGCUGAACCAGCCAAGUCGCGUGAGGGAUGACGGUCCUAUGGAUUGUAAACCUCUUUUGUCAGGGAGCAAAGGGCGCCACGUGUGGCGCUUUGCGAGUACCUGAAGAAAAAGCAUCGGCUAACUCCGUGCCAGCAGCCGCGGUAAUACGGAGGAUGCGAGCGUUAUCCGGAUUUAUUGGGUUUAAAGGGUGCGCAGGCGGAAUGUCAAGUCAGCGGUAAAAUUUCGGGGCUCAACCCCGUCGUGCCGUUGAAACUGGCGUUCUUGAGUGAGCGAGAAGUAUGCGGAAUGCGUGGUGUAGCGGUGAAAUGCAUAGAUAUCACGCAGAACUCCGAUUGCGAAGGCAGCAUACCGGCGCUCAACUGACGCUCAUGCACGAAAGCGUGGGUAUCGAACAGGAUUAGAUACCCUGGUAGUCCACGCAGUAAACGAUGAAUACUAACUGUCCGGGCAGAAUGAUGCCUGG
rnacentral:rRNA from 1 species